GUCCAGGAUAGCCUAGUGGACAUGGCAUCUGCCCGGUAGGCGGUACACUGUCGGUUCGAAUCCCAUCCCUGGACA
rnacentral:tRNA from 1 species